GAUGAACGCUGGCGGCGUGCUUAACACAUGCAAGUCGAACGGUGAAGCAGAGCUUGCUCUGUGGAUCGGUGGCGAACGGGUGAGUAACACGUGAGCAACCUGCCCUGGACUCUGGGAUAAGCGCUGGAAACGGCGUCUAAUACUGGAUACGAGACGUAGCCGCAUGGCCAACGUUUGGAAAGAUUUUUUGGUUCAGGAUGGGCUCGCGGCCUAUCAGCUUGUUGGUGAGGUAAUGGCUCACCAAGGCGUCGACGGGUAGCCGGCCUGAGAGGGUGACCGGCCACACUGGGACUGAGACACGGCCCAGACUCCUACGGGAGGCAGCAGUGGGGAAUAUUCACAAUGGGCGAAAGCCUGAUGCAGCAACGCCGCGUGAGGGAUGACGGCCUUCGGGUUGUAAACCUCUUUUAGCAAGGAAGAAGCGAAAGUGACGGUACUUGCAGAAAAAGCGCCGGCUAACUACGUGCCAGCAGCCGCCGUAAUAC
rnacentral:rRNA from 1 species